rnacentral:lncRNA from 1 species
GGGCACCAUUGCUCCAAUAGUAAGGGCAUGUAAGGACUUCUAAGAAGAAGGGUGUUAAGGAUGCAUUGGAGAUAGUCUAACAGCAGAAUCAUCAUCCAUAGCUGUUUAUUGACUAUCAAAUUCUUCAUUAUGUUCGAUGGUUGUGUUGAAGAUGAUAUGGUGAGAUUUGGUGAUGAAGGUAUAAAGAUUGAAGAUCUAAAGAUGAAGAAGGUAUAAAGAUUGAAGAUGUGCAGAUAUGGAAGUGCAUUUGGGGAUAUAAAGAGCGUAAUGACCAAAUUGCCCUCCAAAAUAUAAGUAAAAAGACAUACAUGCCUCGGUCAACUAACAGUUGACUAACAUCAAAUGUUACCACGGACUUGAUUGAUUCCAAUUGACAACCACAGAGAGACUGGAAUGACUUUUUUUUACGAAUAGCGUCUAUAUGUGACUACGGGUGUAAACCACAUGGACG